AUUUCCCAACACCUCAUAGAGCAUUUUCAGAGAUGGGACGGACCUUGAUCAUUUAUCUCUAUUUAUGUCUCUUUUCUCUCUCUCUAUAUAUAUAUAUAUAGACAAUUUUCUAAUAUACUUUCCCUUUUUUUUCUAAUCAUUUUCGAAUAAAAAAUCAUUUAUUGAUGGGUCUAUUGAUAUCUAGGGCAAAUCCAUGAACUUGAUGUGGUUAUUCUUUAUCUAUUCUUAAAAAUCUCUCAAGUCAUAAAUACUAUAAUCUCCUAUGACUCUAAAAUCCAAUAGAAUAUUUUUUUGAAGAACUGUUCAAGAAACAAAUGAUCCCCUCUUUCAUUACUUAUACCCAGCGGAUCCUCAAACAUAUUUCCUUUCAUGAAAGAAACUUAUUCUUGAUUUU
rnacentral:lncRNA from 1 species